rnacentral:rRNA from 1 species
AUACAGAGGGUGCGAGCGUUAAUCGGAUUUACUGGGCGUAAAGCGUGCGUAGGCGGCUUUUUAAGUCGGAUGUGAAAUCCCCGAGCUUAACUUGGGAAUUGCAUACGAUACUGGGGAGCUAGAGUAUGGGAGAGGAUGGUAGAAUUCCAGGUGUAGCGGUGAAAUGCGUAGAGAUCUGGAGGAAUACCGGUGGCGAAGGCAGCCAUCUGUCAUAAUAGUGACGCGUAGGUACGAAAGCGGGGGGAGCAAACAGGAUUAGAUUCCCUGGUAGUCCAUGCCGUAAACGAGGUCUACUAGGCGUUGGGAGGUUUGGCCUUUUAGUGGCGCAGCUAACGCAAUAAGUAGACCGCCUGGGGAGUACGGUCGCAAGACUAAAACUCAAAGGAAUUGACGGGG